rnacentral:rRNA from 1 species
CAGGCCUAACACAUGCAAGUCGAGCGGACCCUUCGGGGUUAGCGGCGGACGGGUGAGUAACGCGUGGGAACGUGCCCUUUGCUGCGGAAUAGCCUCGGGAAACUGAGAGUAAUACCGCAUACGCCCUUUUUGGGGAAAGAUUUAUCGGCGAAGGAUCGGCCCGCGUUGGAUUAGGUAGUUGGUGGGGUAAUGGCCUACCAAGCCGACGAUCCAUAGCUGGUUUGAGAGGAUGAUCAGCCACACUGGGACUGAGACACGGCCCAGACUCCUACGGGAGGCAGCAGUGGGGAAUCUUAGACAAUGGGGGCAACCCUGAUCUAGCCAUGCCGCGUGAGUGAUGAAGGCCUUAGGGUUGUAAAGCUCUUUCAGCUGGGAAGAUAAUGACGGUACCAGCAGAAGAAGCCCCGGCUAACUCCGUGCCAGCAGCCGCGGUAAU